AUUGAACGCUGGCGGCAUGCCUUACACAUGCAAGUCGAACGGCAGCACGGGGGCAACCCUGGUGGCGAGUGGCGAACGGGUGAGUAAUGCAUCGGAACGUGCCCAGUAGUGGGGGAUAACCAGUCGAAAGACUGGCUAAUACCGCAUACGACCUACGGGUGAAAGCGGGGGACCGUAAGGCCUCGCGCUAUUGGAGCGGCCGAUGUCUGAUUAGCUAGUUGGCGGGGUAAAGGCCCACCAAGGCGACGAUCAGUAGCUGGUCUGAGAGGACGACCAGCCACACUGGGACUGAGACACGGCCCAGACUCCUACGGGAGGCAGCAGUGGGGAAUUUUGGACAAUGGGCGAAAGCCUGAUCCAGCCAUGCCGCGUGCGGGAAGAAGGCCUUCGGGUUGUAAACCGCUUUUGGCAGGAACGAAACGGCGCGGGCCAAUACCCCGCGCUAAUGACGGUACCUGCAGAAUAAGCACCGGCUAACUACGUGCCAGCCGCCGCGGUAAAAC
rnacentral:rRNA from 1 species